AAUCAACGCUGGCGGCGCGCCUAACACAUGCAAGUCGCACGAGAAAGCGGGAGCAAUCCCGCAAGUACAGUGGCGUACGGGUGAGUAACACGUGGAUCAUCUGCCCUGGAGUGGGGAAUA
rnacentral:rRNA from 1 species